rnacentral:rRNA from 1 species
UACGUAGGGGGCAAGCGUUGUCCGGAAUCAUUGGGCGUAAAGCGCGUGUAGGCGGCCCGGUAAGUCCGCUGUGAAAGUCCAGGGCUCAACCCUGGAAAGCCGGUGGAUACUGUCGGGCUAGAGUCCGGAAGAGGCGAGUGGAAUUCCUGGUGUAGCGGUGAAAUGCGCAGAUAUCAGGAGGAACACCAAUUGCGAAGGCAGCUCGCUGGGACGGCACUGACGCUGAGACGCGAAAGCGUGGGAGGCGAACGG